UGCAAGUCGACGCUUUUUCUUUCACCGGAGCUUGCUCCACCGAAAGAAAAGGAGUGGCGAACGGGUGAGUAACACGUGGGUAACCUGCCCAUCAGAAGGGGAUAACACUUGGAAACAGGUGCUAAUACCGUAUAACAAUAGAAACCGCAUGGUUUCUAUUUGAAAGGCGCUUUUGCGUCACUGAUGGAUGGACCCGCGGUGCAUUAGCUAGUUGGUGAGGUAACGGCUCACCAAGGCAACGAUGCAUAGCCGACCUGAGAGGGUGAUCGGCCACAUUGGGACUGAGACACGGCCCAAACUCCUACGGGAGGCAGCAGUAGGGAAUCUUCGGCAAUGGACGAAAGUCUGACCGAGCAACGCCGCGUGAGUGAAGAAGGUUUUCGGAUCGUAAAACUCUGUUGUUAGAGAAGAACAAGGAUGAGAGUAGAAUGUUCAUCCCUUGACGGUAUCUAACCAGAAAGCCACGGCUAACUACGUGCCAGCAGCCGCGGUAAUACGUAGGUGGCAAGCGUUGUCCGGAUUUAUUGGGCGUAAAGCGAGCGCAGGCGGUUUCUUAAGUCUGAUGUGAAAGCCCCCGGCUCAACCGGGGAGGGUCAUUGGAAACUGGGAAACUUGAGUGCAGAAGAGGAGAGUGGAAUUCCAUGUGUAGCGGUGAAAUGCGUAGAUAUAUGGAGGAACACCAGUGGCGAAGGCGGCUCUCUGGUCUGUAACUGACGCUGAGGCUCGAAAGCGUGGGGAGCAAACAGGAUUAGAUACCCUGGUAGUCCACGCCGUAAACGAUGAGUGCUAAGUGUUGGAGGGUUUCCGCCCUUCAGUGCUGCAGCUAACGCAUUAAGCACUCCGCCUGGGGAGUACGACCGCAAGGUUGAAACUCAAAGGAAUUGAC
rnacentral:rRNA from 1 species